rnacentral:rRNA from 1 species
GACGAACGCUGGCGGCGUGCUUAACACAUGCAAGUCGAACGGAAAGGCCCUGCUUUUGUGGGGUGCUCGAGUGGCGAACGGGUGAGUAACACGUGAGUACCCUGCCAUUGACUUUGGGAUAACUUCAGGAAACUGGGGCUAAUACCGGAUAGGAGCUCCUGCUGCAUGGUGGGGGUCGGAAAGUUUCGGCGGUUGGGGAUGGACUCGCGGCUUAUCAGCUUGUUGGUGGGGUAGUGGCUUACCAAGGCUUUGACAGGUAGCCGGCCUGAGAGGGUGACCGGCCACAUUGGGACUGAGAUAAGGCCCAGACUCCUACGGGAGGCAGCAGUGGGGAAUAGUGCACAAUGGGCGGAAGCCUGAUGCAGCAACGCCGCGUGCGGGAUGACGGCCUUCGGGUUGUAUUCCGCUUUCGCCUGUGACGAAGCGUGAGUGACGGUAAUGGGUAAAGAAGCACCGGCUAACUACGUG